AGUUCCAUAGUUUAACGGUUAAAACCCGGGAUUCCAAAUCCUGUACUCUAGGUUCGAUUCCUAGUGGAGCUGCCA
rnacentral:tRNA from 1 species